UCUUGAGGUAACGCUUUUAUCUUUUAUGCAAAUCCAGUAUGAGAACCCGUAGACUGUGGUGUAAAACCCAAACAGUGGCUUUGAGCUUCUGUUUCAAAUGUUUUUUUGCCGGCAGUGGUGCAAAAGAACGCAUGAAUGCUUCGGGCACGGACACCUGGCUUCAAAUUGACCGCCCUGCCUGAGCCAGGUCGGUACCCUUGGGCGGUCCCCAGGCUCUGGCGGGCACCGCGGGGAUUGUCACUGCGCACCGCGGUCCCACAGCGCAGCAGUCCCUUGGUCCGGCCCCAUGAUCUGAUUAUGCGGCACUCCCGUGGUCGCAAGGCGCCGCAGCCCCAUGAUGUGGUCGCAAGACCUGGCGAUCUCGGUAUCCCGUAGUCCCAUGGUGCGGGCCCGUAGUCCUAAGACACGGCGGUCCCAAGGUCCCAUGGUGUGGUCCCGCGGUCCCAAGGCGCUGAGGUUCAGCAGUCCGGUAGUCCCAAGGCACAGCAGUCCCGUGGUCCCAUGGUGCAGUCCCGUAGUCCAAGACGGGGCAGUCCGACAAUCGCGUAGUCCCAAGGUACGGUGGUCUUGGUCCCAUGGUGUGGUCGUGCGGACCCAAGGCGCAGCGGUCCCGUGGUCCCUUGGCACAGUCCUGUAGCCCUAAGGCGCGGCAGGCGCUUAGCGAGGGUAAUGAGCGCCCAGUGGCAAUCUCUUAAAUUGCACUCAGCUCAAUUUCAAGAUGAAUAGAUAUUGAUAGCAGCGACGCGUCAGCAGAAACGCCUUCCCCCCCUUGCCCUUCCCCCCUCUGUCUGGCUGCCUCCGUCAGGCGCCUGCCAUUUGUGGCGCCUGGGAAUGUCAUUCCUUGCCGUGUCUGGCGCCCCCUUGGACUUACCGCCAGGGCCAAGCACUCCCCCCGCCCCCCGCCACGCCUCUGCGUCAGCCCCGCGGUCUGGAGGUGCCACGAUCCUGUGGCGCAAUCCCUUGGUCCAUGGUGUGGCUCGCAGUCCCGAAGCACUGGGGUCUGCUGGUGCCGUCGGGGGGUCUGCAGUCCCGAGGCGCGGCAGUUCCUUGGUGCAAUCCGCGGUCCCGAGGCGCGACAGUCCAGUGGUGCAAUCCGCGGUCCCGAGGCGCGACAGUCCAGUGGUGCAAUCCGCGGUCCCGAGGCGCGACAGUCCAGUGGUGCAAUCCGCGGUCCCGAGGUGCGGCGGUCCCGAAGCGUGACAGUCUCUUGGUGCAGCCUCAGUCCCGAGGCGUGGCGGUCCCGUGGUGCAGUCCGCGGUUCCUAGGCGCGACGGUCCCGAGGCGCAACGGUCCCGUGGUGCGAUCCGCGGCCCCACAGUCCCGAGACGAGGCCGCCCGGCAUACAGCCGGGUCCGAAUGCUGCUGGAGGUGUGCGCGCCGGCGGUGCACCUGGCCGUGACCGCGCCUCCUGGCGCCGUGUCCGUCGCUGCUCAGCCGUGCGCCACCGUGGGCGGAGCGCUUCACGCGAAAUCACGGUGUGCUGUUCUGCAGAAUGUAAACUGAGAAUGGCUGACCCGCCUCGAAUCUUGAAUUGGGCAAGUUUUAAAUCCCUCUGUUAAGCGAGGCAUAAUAUGGAUGCUUCAAAAACAAAAACGGAAGCUGGAAGAAGGGCAGAAAGACCAUGUGUAGCUUGACUAAUCAGGGACAAUCACUGUUACCCUUUUAGAUCCUUCUGACCAUGUGUAGCCUGACUAGUCAGGGACAAUCACUGUUACCCUUUUAGGUCCUUCUGACCAUGUGUAGCCUGACUAGUCAGGGACAAUCACUGUUACCCUUUUAGGUCCUUCUGACCAUGUGUAGCUUGACUAGUCAGGGACAAUCACUGUUACCCUUUUAGGUCCUUUUGACCAUGUGUAGCUUGACUAGUCAGGGACAAUCACUGUUACCCUUUUAGGUCCUUCUGACCAUGUGUAGCCUGACUAGUCAGGGACAAUCACUGUUACCCUUUUAGAUCCUUCUGACCAUGUGUAGCUUGACUAGUCAGGGACAAUCACUGUUACCCUUUUAGGUCCUUCUGACCAUGUGUAGCUUGACUAGUCAGGGACAAUCACUGUUACCCUUUUAGGUCCUUCUGACCAUGUGUAGCUUGACUAGUCAGGGACAAUCACUGUUACCCUUUUAGGUCCUUCUGUAAAUUUUUCCCACCACAUUUGUGUGGGAAACAGAUGAGAUUCUAUCGAACACCAUGUUGAAACUUCACAGUUUGCAGGUCUCUUCUCAUGUAAUAAAUGAUGGGCACAGUGUCAGGAACUCAUCCACACGGUGUGCUUGACCGGUUGUCUGCUGAUGGGCAUUUCAGUUGUUGUCAGUCUUUUGUUAUAAUGAACUGUCACGAGCGCUCUUGUGUGCACGUCCAGUUAUUACCUUAGGACAGAUGCCUAGGUGUGGAGUUACUAGAUCAAGGAACGCGUCAUUUCAAAAGGUUUCUGGAACACACCAUCAGCAUCACCUCACAUGGAAGAAAGUGCUUAUUUUUCCACGAUCUUAUCAACAUCAAAUGGGCAAAAAUAUUUGCAAUGUUGGUUUGCCUUUCUGUGAUUGCAGUUGAGUACAUUUUCCCGCGUCUGCUGGCCACCAGCGUCUCUUCUGUGCACUGACUCUCGGCAUCCCUUGUCCGUUUUCCUCUUGGAGCCUUUGUGGACUCCUGGCGAAUUUGUAUAAACCCGACGCAUUAGGGUUUACAGUUUCAGGUCUGUGAAUUUAUUAUGUCACGAUUUUUUCUGAGUGUGUUGUGCAGUUAGAGAAGUUUUAAAAUCUUAAUGCAGUCUUUCUUUUGUGGCUUCUGCUUUUUGGUUCUGUUGUGGUUGUCGUUGUGUGCCAUCCAUUCAAUUCUGACUCACAGCGACCCUGUAGGACAGAGAAGAACUGCCCCACAGGGUUUCCAAGGAGCAGCUGGUGGAUUUAAACUGCCAGCCUUUUGCUUAGCAGCGUGAGCUCUUAACCGGUGCACCACCAGGGCUCCUUUUUGAUUCUAAGAAAGAAUGUUCUACCCUAAGAUUCUAAGAGGUUACUAAAUUUUUAAACAUUUCUUUGCCUGUUUUGUUUCAUUAAAAAAAGGUAUUAUCUAUAGUGACUUGCCCAUGGUGACAUGACCAGCAGGGGAAUGCGCUGAAUAGGAGCUUUAAUAAACCUUUACGGAAUCUAAUUCUUGAGGACAAAACCCAUGUCUUAUUAUUCCCUUAUUCUUUAUGGCACCUUUGUACCCAGUAGAUUCUCAAUUGAUAAAAGCUGAAUUGAAUCAUUUUCCCCAUUACUAUCUAUUUACAGGUUGUACCCAUCUGAAAAUUGUUUUGUAAUGGGGUGUGAGAGGGCUCUAGUCUUAAUGUUUCCCUUAAACACCCAGAAAGUUGUUUGCUCUGUUGCUCCUCCCCUGUCCCACUGAUCGGCCUGCCUGUCCUCUGACUGCCUCCCCCGGCCCCCCGCACUCCAGGCCUGCAGUCUCACCUCUGUCUGUCAUGGGUUUUCUCCCCACGACCUUCUACAGGUGAACUUUCUGGGCACAGGGGCAGCAAGUGCUCAGAAAGGGUUCGAGCGAGUGGGUGGUGCAGGGAGAUGGUGGAAACGAAACCCUUAGCACAGGGCUGGCCACAUGGUCAGACCUCGGAGGCGCAGCUAUUGUCAGGCUCUUAGCUGGUCACUGGAGGGACUCAGCCAGCACAGAGUAUCUUGCUUGGAGCUAUUUUUUGUUUGAUUUAAACAUGCCUGUUGUCUCAAAGGAUUCGAGGCAGCUUGGGGCAGUGACACAGCCCACGCUCUGACACCACAAGGCCUGUGUUCGAGUCCCAGCUUUGCCACUUCGUUAAGGUCUCCCACCUGAACAGCUGGGCUCAUACUUACCAUACCCGUGGGGAGGAUUACCUGAGAUAAUAGACAUGCAGGUCUUUCACACAGUGCCUGGUCCCAUAGUGGUGGCCAUUAUUUUUAAAGUAUGGGAGUUUAAAGUACUAAUACACAUUAUCGAAAAGGAGAAUUAGAUAUUUGAUGUAAAUACUGAGCAAUGUUCUAGGUACCCAGGAUGAAUCAGUCAUGGAAAAGAUCACUACAUUGAGUUUGGAACUCUGUAGCUGCUUAGGGGGAUAGGUGGUUGCUUAGAUUCUUGUUUGGGGUGAUGAAAAGAAGGCUUUAGGUAGGUACCUGGCAGAAAACAACUCCCUGAAGUUUCCGGGGAAUGUCGUGGAUUCUUUUGUAGGGGAGGUUGGAUGCACGAUAGUGGCAGAAGGGUCGGUUGGAAACCACCUGGUGUCAGGUGAUUGGAAAUCUGAAUUCUAUCACUGUGCCCUGCUGGCCGGGUGACCAGACAGAGUCACCUCCCUUUGUAGAGCCCCUGGUUCCUUAUCUGUGCCUCUCAGGGCAGGUGUGAGAAGAGAACCUGCACCCAGAGCAUAGUGGGUGCUAGGUGAGUGCUAUCCGCUUUAGGAGAAACUAGGCGGGCUGUCUGCCAAAGAUGGGGAAAUAGUCUUCACAUGGGUACCUCGUGUAUUUACCUAAAAAAACAGAAACAGAAAUACUUGACAUUGAGUUAUAAAUCCGUAAAGGUGUUCCAGCAGGAAUAAAUGUGACAUGAAGAUACUGUCUUACUCGUCCAUCUGUUCAUUCAUUCAUUCAACAAUUGCACAAAACCACACAUAAUCCUUGCUCUUAUGAUGGUUAAAUUUAGUGGGAGAGGCAGUUACUAAUCAGAGAAUCACAAAAUAAAAAUAGAAUCAAAGCUGGUAAGGGCUGCGGGGAAGUGUGACUGCGUUUCUUUCCCAGGGAGUUCCUUUUUGGUGUUGCCCUGAGAUUGUGUCUUAGAGACUACAAAGAAAUGGAUGUAUGUAUCAGAGAUUUUUCACUUCUUCGCUAAGCUUUUGUCAGGUACUUACAUUGCCUGGCUACCUUUUUUCCUAAGUGCUUGAUGAGAACCACAGGUCUGCGUUAAUAGUAAUGAUGGCAGCGGUACUCUCAGCUACCAUUUUGGAGGACAUUUCUGUAGGAGGCCAUUUAUAUGUUAUCAGUAUUUCUUUAAUUCUUCGAAUAUUGUUGAGUAAAGACAGAUGGUAAGUCACAGAGGACAGUUUUAACUUAUGAGGGGGAAUUUAUUCUAAAAAUUUUUAUGGGAAACAUUUUCUUUUUACAGAUCACAGGGGUGGCUUUGGGGCCCAUUUCUUAGAGAUAGUGUUAUAAAUGACAGCUGACGGUUUAGGCUGGAUCACAAAAGCCCAUUUGAAAACCUAUUAUAGAGGCAAUUCUUCAGGCUUGCAGUGAAGUAAAGAACAGCGUGGUGAGUAGUCUGCACGACGGUAGUUGGAUGUGAGUCUGUCAGCAGGGUUACUGUCAUAGACUAUGGGUACUCUACUGCUCACUUCGAAAAGGUCCAGUUUGGAGGAGCCUGACUUACCACCCUUGCCUGCCCCCAGGGUUUUCCCACUCUGGCCCUUGCCCCUUCCCCCGCCAAGGGUUGGCCCCUGUUCACGCCGCCACCCAGGGUGCCUUCUUUUGGUAUUGCCUGGAACCAGGCUGAGACUGACUGGAAUUUCCCCAAGGAUUUUUACUAAGGGAGAAAAGAACGAAGUACUUCCAGGAACGUGCAGCGUGAAGAUGACACAUUUCCAGAGAAGAGCCCUCUGCUUCUGCAGGUGGCUGGCUUGCUUGCAGGGUCUGUCCCUCCCCACCCUCUCUGGAAGCCUGCCCAGGUCUUUGUCUUGGCUCUGCUUUCCCCCAGAACUCCCCGCAGGCCGUGGUGGGGCAGUGGAUGUUCUUCUUUGUUGAUUAUCACAUUUAAACACCUUAGUGGCACCAACUAACUGCUGAGCACAGACACCCUGGUUCCAAAGUGUGCUGAUAACGAAAUUCCUUCUAAGUGCCAGUGUGCACACUCUCGCCCGCUGCCGAGCUCUGACUGGUGUUAGGAGCAGCCUUACCCCUGUGUGGGUAGUUAAAUGGUGGCCAGUGAGUCUGGGUUCCUUCCACCUCAUUCCACUACGGUACAUGCGCCUGCCUCCCUCUGUCUCUCUUUUCGUAGGGGUUCUCUAGGUCCGGAACCCCAAAGGCCAUGGAUUCCCUUUCUUCCUUAUCUGGUCGCAUUUUACUUCGUGCCCUUUGACCCUGGGGACCUCAGAAGCUUACUUUGGUUCAGUUUGCCGGGGCUUAGGGUUUAGUGAUCUGGGCUAUUAGAAGGCAUCUGUGACUGCAGACCCAGUUCAGACCCAUGGCCUUACGUGGCUGCAGCUGCUCGAGCCCGACGUGCGAGCCAGCGUUCCAAGUGUUCCCGAGUGUUGGCGUUGGGCCAGACUACAAUCCCUGCGUCUGAGGGUGGAGCUCAGGUCUGGUUUUCUUUGUUGGGUUUGGCUAGGUGGUUGCCCAGCUCUAACCACCACAGUCCUGUGGAUACUAAGUAGCUGUUUUGAUCCUUCUCUGCUGGCAGAAGCCAAUGUUCCUGUUUGCGUUUGUAGGGGCUCACGCUGAGAAGGCCUCCCUGAACUCAUCAGGGAAGCUGCUGUGGUAUGUCUGAUGUAGCUCAGUCAUGAGAGAGGCUCCCUGUGGAGACGACAGGUGAGUUGGGCAGGUGGCCACCAGGAGAGGACCGGCGGUCCUGGUGUCUGUUUGACAAUACCAGCCUUCUGGUCUGCACCCCAGUGAGCCAUUGAACAUGCCCCUGUGUGGCCCGUGAGGAAGAACGCACGUCACGCAGACCUGGGCUGGCCAUCUUGCCCGGCUACUGCCUGCCCAGGGGACCAAGCCUCCCUUUUCUCCUCACAGGGGUGUCUGGUGGCAUAAAGGCCGUGAUGCCACUUCUCAGGCCAGGGUGUGCCACAGAAGCGUGGGAUAGCUCUGAGCCGUUUUUAUCACUUUCUCAAACCUUUAUACCUUCUGAAUCAUAAUGCAGAGCUUUACCACAGACUGAUGGCAUUUGGGCAGCAGGUCCCACGAAGACAAGGAUGCUGGGCUCACUCUGAGGAGUGUGGGUGAUGGGUCCAUAUAGCAGCAAAAUGGCCAGGGAACACAGAUCCCGACCUUUGGGUUAAUUCGCCAGUAACCAAAGCUACUUAUUCUAAGGGCCAGGCUAUCCAUUUGCCUAAUGAUUCUUCUGUAUGAUUGAGAAGAUGUUUCUUAAGAAAUACGUAUUUUGAAUUGGAUAAUCAUAUGGUCUACUAUCCUGGGAAUGACAACUUGAAGAGGAACGGUGUCACAUUCAUUAUCGAAAAGCACAUUUCAAGAUCUAUCCUCUCAAGUACAACGCUGUCAGUGAUAGGAUAAUAGCCAUACGCCUACAAGAAAGACCAGUUAAUACGACUAUUAUUCAAAUUUACGCACCAACCACUAGUGUGAAAGACGAAGAAAUUGAAGAUUUUUACCAACUUCUGCAGUCUGAAAUUGAUCAAACAUGCACUCAAACGCAUUGGUAAUUACUGGUGAUUGGAAAACAAAAGUUGGAAACAAAGAAAAAAGAUCAAUAGUUGGAAAACAUGGCCUUGGUGAUAGAAAUGAUGCUGGAGAUUGCAUGAUAGUUUUUUUUUUUUUUUUUUAAUUUUUAUUGUGUUUAAGUGAAAGUUUCCAAAUCAAGUCAGUCUUUCACACAAAGGCUUAUAUAUAUAUACCUUGCUACACACUCCCAAUUGCUCUCCCCCUAAUGAGACAGCCCACUCUCUCCCUCCACGCUCUCUUUUCGUGUCCAUUUCUCCAACUUCUAACCGCCUCUACCCUCUCAUCUCCCUCCAGGCAGGAGGUGCCAACAUAGUCUCAAGUGUCCACCUGAUCCAAGAAGCUCACCCCUCACCAGCAUCUCUCUCCAACCCACUGUCCAGUUCACUCUGUGUCUGAAGAGUUGGCUUUGGGGAUGGUUCCUGUCCUGGGCCAACAGAAGGUCUGGGGGCCAUGAGUACCGGGGUCUUUCUAGUCUCAGUCAGACCAUUAAGUCUGGUCUUAUGAGAAUUUGGGAUCUGCAUCCCACUGCUCUCCUGCUCUCUCAGGGGUUCUCUGUGCAUGAUAGAGUUUUGCAAGACCAACUGCUUAUUCAUUGUAAAUACCUCCCCCCCCCAACAACAUGUUAACAUAAAGAAAACAAAAAUCCUCACAACUGGACAAUAAGCAACAUCAUGAUAAACGGAGAAAAGAUUGAAGUUGUUAGAGAUUUCAUUUUACUUGGAUCCACAAUCAGCACCCAUGGAAGCAACAGUCAAGAAAUCAAAAGACGCACUGCAUUGGGAAAAUCAGCUGGAAGAGAUGUCUUUGGAGUGUCAUAAAGCAGAGGCAUCACCUUGAAGUCUAAGGUGUGCCUGACCCAAGCCACGGUGUUUUCAGUUGCCUCAUAUACAUGCGAAAGCUGGAUAAUGAAUACGGAAGACCAAAGACAAACUGACAUCUUUGAAUUAUGGUGUUGGCAAAGACUAUUGAAUAUACCAUGGACUGCCAAAAGAAUGAACAAAUCUGUCUUGGAAGGAGUACAGCCAGAAUGCUCCUUAGAAGCCAGGUUGGUGAGACUUCAUCUCAUGUACUUUGGACAUGUUAUCAGGAGGGACCAGUCCCUGGAGAAGGACAUCAUGCUUGGUAAAGAAGAGGGUCAGUGAAAAAGAGGAAGACCCUUGAUGUGAUGAGGUGGAUUUUGACGCAGUGGUUGCAACAGUGGGCUCAAACGUAGCAACAAUUGUGAUGGCGCAGGACCGGGCAGUGUUUUGUUCUGUUGUACAUAGGGUUGCUAUGAGUCAGAACCGACUCGGUGGCACUUAACAACAGCAUAAGAUGUCGUGGGAGGAACAGAAGCCCCGAUUCCAGGCACGUCUGCCCCUUCUGGGAAGUCUGGGGGCUUGCUUCUCAUUUUCAUUAAGCUUGAUUCCCUGCUGCUCCACCGAGCCCAGACAGGUCUCGCUUGACGUAGUGUCCCCAACCGCCUCACGCUGGCUCACAGUGGGUGACUCAGAGCAGUGGAGGGGGAUGGGCGAGCCACCCCUCCUGCUUGGUUUCCAAGGCGCCUUGAGCUCCAGACCCUGCGGUUUAUUACGCACCACUUUUGGUCAGGGCGGUGUCCUAAGCCUGGUGGUGCAUACUGGCGACGAGGCCUUUUGCCUUGGUGCUGGGUUACCAAGCAGUCACAGUACAAGUUUGAAUAAAGGCUGCCUGUGUGGGAGUGGGGGCGAGGCUGCAGCCAGCGAGGGUCCCCAUUAGACCCGAGGUCCGUGCCUCUGAUCCAGGGUGUAACCCACCUUCUGAAAAUGCGUUUUCGUGUGCUGGAAAACUUAGGAAAUAUGCAACAGCAAUGAAAAGCGUCUCUGAGCAGAGUCAUGCCUGCGGUGUUGUUCCGAGCGCGCGCCAGUGUGUGGGCAGGGGUACAGUAAAGGCGGGGGCCUGGGGGCCCGGUCCCAGCGGUCUGAUUGACCCCUGGGUGCGGGGGAAGAAGCGUGGGUGGCAGGCAUCAUCAGGAUGUCUCAUCGCUGACGCCAGACAGCCCUCUCCAGCUCCAGGGCCAGGCAGCGCAGUGCACAGGAAGCCAGAGAGCCGGUUGCCAUGGCAGCGAGAAACUGCACUCGGGAACGCGCGUGCGCAGCGCAGCGCAGCAGCCUCUCAUCCCUUGGCCGCCCCAGACCCUGGGGGAGAGACGCCAGAGCCGCCCACCUCCCAGUACCGCAAUAGACGCGGUGUGGAGGGUUUUGUGACGUUGAUCGUUGUUUGUUUAGAGAUGAGCCCCCCCCUUAGGACUGGGGAUCUUAAACUUGUGGGGUCUCAGUUUGAUGGAGCUUACGAAUGGAUCUUUUUCCAUAACAGUGGUCUUCAAGGCACAGAAUAAGUAGAAACGACAAAGAAAAUCACUUCCACUGUAGUAAACCAGAUCAGUUGCCAUCGGGUUGGUUCCAACUCCUGGCGAUUCCAUCGUGUGUGUGUGUGUGUGUGUGUGUGUGUGUGUGAGAGAGAGAGAGAGAGGAGAGAGAAAGUGUGUGUGUGUGUGCACACGCAUAGCUUGGUAAAGUGAGUUUAUUUAUUACUAAAAAAAAUUUUUUUUGAAUUGAGAUAAAAACCAUCUUAACCAUUUUUAAAGUGUAUGAUAUAGUGGUUUUAGUCCUUUCACGGCAUUGUGCCGUUAAUGCUACUGUCUCGUUUCCAGAGAGCUUUCAAGGUUGUGACCUUUCAGAAGCAGCUCACCAGGCCUGUCUUCCGAGGCCCCUCUGGGUGGGUUAGAACCACCAGCCUUUUGGCUAGCAGCCAAGUUCUUAACUGUGGACCCCAGGACUUCUCUAGCAUAAGUGUCCAAAUACUAGAAAUAAAUGUGUGAUGAGGUAACCGGUGACUUAUCACCUCCUGUAACAGGGUCUAGCAGCGGGUCUAACGAUGAUCGUGAUUAUGAAAUCAUGAUGGUUUGCAGUGUAUUUCGUGGUGUCUAAUGACUGUAAUUAAAAAAAAAAAAAUUCUUUUUUUUUUAAUGACUGUAAGGGAUCCGAGGGUGUCUUUGAUGUCCCGGGCUCUGCCAGCGUUGCUGUGGCUUGCUGCCCACCUUCAUAGCGGAAGGAAAUGCUAGGUCUCAGGUAGAGGUUAGUGAAGAUAAAGGUAUAAUUUUUUCCCAUCCAAGUUCGCGUUCUCUGUGUGGGUCCCCGGUCGAGAACUCCUGGUUCACCGGGUGUGUGGGGAGGCAGUUCUGCAUAGGGGCUUUCGGUGACUCAGUAUGUGGUAGGGCAAGGGGCUUCAGACCGAGCCCGACUGCUGUAGGCGCCAUCUGCUCUCGGAGGGGUCUCAGUCAUGCGUGACACCACCUUCCCGAGGUCGGGCCUGGCUAGCGUAGCUGCCACCAUCGCUGGGCCCCCCCCCUUUCUCCACAGAGACAGUGUGGCUUCCAGACUGGCAAGCUGGGGACAGAUGAGCCAGGUUUGUUCCACUUUCACACACCCCGGGAAGGGCGUGCCUGCCCUGGUUCCAUGCUGGUCAGUAGAUGAAGAGAUAUCAGAACACCCUCUGGUUCUUUAGUUCACAGACCUGGGCCUCCCAGUUCCCAGUGGGAGAGACAAAAGCUGGCACCGCAUAUUAAAAUUUAUUGGUGUGUACCGAGCCACGCCUUUCCCUGUAGAAUUAGGAGCUGAAAAAUGGGUUGUGUUUAAAACCAGUACCGUCUUAGGGGCCCUGGUGGCACAAUGGUUAAGUGUUUGUCUACUAAGCGAAAGGUCAGUGAUUCGAAGCCACCACCAUCUCCACAGGAAAAAAAGACCUGGCGAUCUGCUGCUGUAAAGAUUACAGCCUAGAAAACCCUAUGGGGCAGUUCCGCUGUGUCACAUGGGGUCACUCAGUCAAAAUUGACUCAGCUUCACCUAACAGCAGCGUUGCAACAUGGUCUCCAGUGUAGGCUCAGCCCUGCCUCACCAAACUACUGUGUGCCCAAAGAGACUCAGGGGGCACAUGAGGGGGCACGUGUUCACUUGGUCGCUCCCCUGGUACCUUUCUGGUACCCGGGAGGUAGAAGGCUGUGUUAUGGGAGUUUUCCCAGCCACCUCACGAAUUUUCCCAGCUCUUGAGACUAUGGCCCUUCUAGUGCAAAGUCGUGACUCUUGUGACCAGGCCUUUCUGCUGGGGGACCUGGCAGACGCUCAAGUGAUCCGAGCCAGACACAGCUAAUGUCCUCUCCUCAGGCUGGGGAGGGUCUCAGUACCCCUCAGACUGCUCCCUGGGGCCCCCUGAUACCUGACAGUCUUGAAGCCGUCUGCUCCUCACUGCCCUCUUCUUUCAAUUGGGGUUCACAGCCCGUAUCUCUCCCUCCAUCCUGGGAGGUAAUUUGGAUGUAGGUGGAAGUUUCUAGAGGGGUUGUUGUUGACAAGUUUUUCUCGUGCCAGGACUGCCCUACUGGGCUUUGCGUUUCUGUGACAUCGUCUGCCCCAACUUGGCACACGCCGCCCAUUUGAGAACCUCAGGCAGGGCCUUCUGUGGUCACCGCACUUUCUUAUCCCACAUGCCAGCUUUGCCCUGGGCUCCACCCUUAGGUGGGGUCAGGGAUGAGAGCACCACCAUGGCAAGGGGGCUUCUUUUCUUCUUUGGGGACGGGGGCUCAGCUGUUAAACAGCCGGGAGGUGGUGCUUGGGGGCGUGCCCUACAACCCCUCCCCUUCCUGUGGAUGGCCGUCACUGUCCUUUGAGGAGGCUCGAUAAACGUCAUCUGUUAACAGCAUGCAAAGGUUUUGGUUGCCACGACCUGGUUACUCAUCCAGGAAGCUGAUUACUCACCCAUGACGUGUUUCUCUUUGACUCAGGCUGCUGUCUGAGGUGCGGCUCUAAAAAAGGAAUUUUUAAACAAAUCAUCUCUGGAGGUUACGUGUUCAGUAGCUAUUCUGCAAACACUCGGCGCCUACUGUGUGCCUGACACUUGCCAGAUGUUGAGCUCUGGAGCCCUGCCCUUAGUUAGUGCUCACUUGGCAGGAAUUGCCAACUGGAACAGGGAAGGCCCCUUCCGAUCACGGCAUUCCUGGUGUGGAGAAGGGCUUGCCUUCCUGACCCCAAGCUCUUGGGCCCCCAGGGCAGAGACAAGACAAGCACUUACAGAAACAACCGGAAAUCAGCUCAAAACGAAACCAUUUGAUGAGUCACCACGUGAAAAAUGUGGCUGUAGGUCCUCCCUGCGGUUGGGGAGGAAAUGCCAGCAGGGAUGUUGGGGUGUGUAAAACUGGUGUGGCAGGGGUGUGUGACUCCUCCUCUAACCUCACAGGUGGGAGGGAGAUCAGGAUCAACACCCCAAGGCCGAUUCCUGUGAGGCAGAGGUUAGAUGUGCCUCCACCCUCCAGCCUCUACCAAUUGUGACACCAACCGUCCCUCCUACAGCACUCUAUUUCUCUGCUGGGUUUGGUAAUUUGCUGCAGCGUCCACACAGAACUCAGAGACAAUACUCAGAACCACGGGGUUUAUUAAGAAAGUAACAGGAUAUAAUUUAGGCUCAGGAAUUCUCAAGAUACAGUUCUUCUAUCAGGACAGUCUUUUCUCAGCUGUGCCUGCAGGCCGGUCUCUCUCUGGCCCUCGGCUGCUAGGCCUGGCCUCUGCCCUGCUCAGGUGUUACAAAGCUCUUUUAGUUCUGCCAAUAAGUUCCCCGAGGCACCCCACUCCACCAGUAAGCCUUGGCCUGGAGGCGUUUGGCUCUGUCUCCGUGAGUCAGCAAACCAGCUCCAUCAAGUGUCAGAGGUACUCCACUCCACCAGCAAGCCUCGGCCCUAAAGACGCUCAGCUCUAGCUCCACAGGUCUACAAGCCUAGCGCCACCAAGUACUUAGAGGCACCCUACGCCGCCACCAAGCCUCUUGCCCAAGGUGCUCAGCUUUCUUGCUCUGUGUGCCAGAAGUCCACCAUGCCCACAAGGGUGCCCUGCACCUUAUUUACAUUAUUACCAAGCUGUCCAAUCCCCUUUGUGGGCCAUAAGCACCUCAUUUGCAUAGUCUCACCCAGUCAUUGGUGGAAGUCACAGAGACUGGCUAGGAGGGCCAUAGUAAGUGAUUCACUGCACUGCAGGGGGAUUGUCAUGAGAAAAGAGAAUUUGCAUUUCUCCUUGGAAGAUGGAGAAAAUAUAGGAACAGCUAGCUUUGACCAGGGAGCAGGGCGGCCUGCCUGGUGUGGCUGGAGACAGGUGGAGUCUUAAAUGCAGGGCGGACAUUUGGGACUUGGUCCCUGCUGAGCAAGCAGAAAGAGUUGGGGCCAAGUCCCUUCAUGCCCGCUCAUGUGGGUCUCCUUGGUGAUACCUUCUCCUCUUGGGCAGUGACUCAGGCUUUCAUUUAUUCAACAAAUGCUGAUGGCACCAGGUGCUGGGGAGCCAGGGGUACAGGACGUGAACCAGACUCUGUGCCAGGUGGGCAGGGCUCAUGCUUUGGGGGGACAAGAACCAGCCAUGCCUCUCAGAAACACAUGCCCACCAAAUCCCACCUCAGUAGGCUCGCUGUGGCAGAGCCCCCUCCCCUUCACCCAUGUCUCCCUGCUGCCUGGUGCGUAUCUGCGUCACAGCACUCAGCCGGUAUUGGGGGCCAGUGAAGGGAAAUGGGGAGUCAACAGAGAGCACCCGGAGGACUCCUCUUGGUGACACUGGAAUUAACUUCUCAGUCGCCUAUGUCUAGCCUUUACUGCGUGCCAGUGUGUCAUCUCAGCCUCCCGUAGCCUCUGCUUUCUGUCUUGGCACCUGGUCACCUGUUGGGGCCAGCACCUGGUCACCUGUUGGGGCCAGCACCUGGUCACCUGUUGGGGCCAGCACCUGGUCACCUGUUGGGGCCAGUGGCUGGCCCUGCAGGCCAGUGUCGCCUCUUUGUUCUUCACCAUGGCUCGCUUUCUCAUGGGGUGGGGGGAGUUCCAGGCUCCUUGCAGCCUGAGGCUGCAUCUUCCCCUCUCUAGGGUUGCUGGCUUUGUUUGUUCAUUUUAUUAUGGUAAAUAUGUACAUAUAUCAAAACAGUUCAACAUUUUUUAUAUAUAGGGUUAAGUGACAUUAAUUACGUUCACCAUGGUGUACAACCAUCCUCACUAUCCAUUCCCCAAUUUUUCUGUCACCCCUAACAGAAGCUUAGUGCCCCCUAAGCCCUGACUCCCUUCUUCUCCUUCCCGUUUGCUUUUUGUAACCGUCAGCAUUUGCCUGUUCUAAAUGUUUCAUGUAAGCGGUAUCAUAAAAUAUUUGUCCCAAUUUUGCGACUGACCUCACUCAGCAUACUGUUUCCAAGGUUCAUCUCUGUCUUAGCAUGUCAGGAUUGAGUGUGGUUUUGGAAUCCUCCUGCUAGUUGUGGGGGCUUACACUUGGGACUCCCUGUGAAUUAUAAAAAUAGAUCUAAGAUCUCUCCAUGGACAUAGAGGCCCAGCAGGGUUUUAAUAGUCUUCAGUAGUAGGGUUUUCUUCCCGAAGGUAUGAAACACAUGAGUCCUCCCCUCUCCCCUCUGCUUGGAAAACUGUCAGGAUUUUCACUUGGGAUUUUAUAUUCUGUGUGCCUUCCCAUAAAGAGUCAGUAUUUUCAUUACUAGAAGCAGGGGGCAAGGAAGAAACAUCUGAAAUUAUGUGUUUCCUGAGUCAAUUCCUAUUGCAUUUCCCCGUCUUAGUUCUCUAGUGCUGCACCAACAGAAGCUGGUUUGUUCCAGUUCAAACCCCUGCUGAGAAUUUGAACCAGAAGCUGCAUUUUAACGAGACCCCCAGGUGAUUCUUAUUUGUAACUUCCUGAGAACUUGCUAGAAAUGCAAAUUCUCAGCAGGGGUUCUGACUAGAAUGAACUGAACCAGAAUGAACCGGUUUGAACCCCCCCCCCACUAGAAA